GACCUCGGAUCAGGUAGGGAUACCCGCUGAACUUAAGCAUAUCAAUAAGCGGAGGAAAAGAAACCAACCGGGAUUACCUUAGUAACGGCGAGUGAAGCGGUAACAGCUCAAAUUUGAAAUCUGGGCCCUGCGGGCCCCGAGUUGUAAUUUGUAGAAGAUGCUUCGGGUGUGGCACUGGUCCAAGUUCCUUGGAACAGGACGUCAUAGAGGGUGAGAAUCCCGUACAUGACCGGUAGCCUGCACCCAUGUGAAGCUCUUUCAACGAGUCGAGUUGUUUGGGAAUGCAGCUCUAAGUGGGUGGUAAAUUUCAUCUAAAGCUAAAUAUGGGCCAGAGACCGAUAGCGCACAAGUAGAGUGAUCGAAAGAUGAAAAGCACUUUGGAAAGAGAGUUAAAUAGUACGUGAAAUUGUUGGAAGGGAAGCGCUUGCAGCCAGACUUGCGUGGGGUCGAUCAUCCGGUGCUCUCACUGGUGCACUCGGCUCUACUCAGGCCAGCAUCGGUUCUGGCGGCUGGAGAAAGGCCUGGGGAAUGUGGCUCCCCCUGGGGAGUGUUAUAGCCCUAGGUGUCAUGCAGCCUGCUGGGACCGAGGACCGCGCCCUGGCUAGGAUGCUGGCGUAAUGGCUGUAAGCGGCCCGUCUCGAAACACGGA
rnacentral:rRNA from 1 species